rnacentral:misc_RNA from 1 species
AUAUAGGAGGUUUGUGAUCUUGGGCGUGCUAGUUUGAUGACUAGUUAUCACAAAUAAUACUAAUUCGAAAAACUUUUUAGUGUGUCAAUAUAGAAUUCUUGUAGAUCGACAAAUAUCAAGAUUAAGUGGUAGUGUUUUUUGCCAAUGAAAGUCCUCACUAAAAGUGAAAAUACAGAAGUCAUGCCUUUCUAGAAUCUUGUGCUUGGAAUAAAGGCGCACGCUUAGGUGCAUACAGUGUUAUUAAAGGCGCUCUGAGGCGCCAAGCGAGGUGCUAGGCGAGGCAAGGCGACCCUCUAGCGCCUCGCCUAGAUUGCAUGAGGCAAGCGCAAGGUAACGCCUUUUUCAUGUAAAGUUUACUCCCCUUUUUUUUUUUUUACACAGCAAAA